CGGAGGCGCCAUUGCGUGGAGCUCAUAGCAUUGACCUGACAGGAAGCGGGGCCGCCAGACCUACACGCGCUACCAGACGCUGGAGCUGGAGAAGGAGUUCCACUUCAACCGCUACCUGACGCGGCGCCGCCGCAUUGAAAUCGCCCACGCGCUCUGCCUCACCGAGCGCCAGAUUAAGAUCUGGUUCCAGAACCGCCGCAUGAAGUGGAAGAAAGAGCAUAAGGACGAAGGUCCGACUGCCGCCGCAGCUCCCGAGGGCGCCGUGCCCUCUGCUGCCGCCACCGCUGCCGUGGACAAGGCCGACGAGGAGGACGAUGAUGAAGAAGAGGAAGACGAGGAGGAAUGAGGGGCCGAUCCGGGGCCCUCGCUGCACCGGACAGUCGGAAAACGUCUUUAAGAGACUCACUGGUUUUACUUACAAAAAUGGGAAAAAUAAAAGAAAAUGUAAAAACAACAACAACAACAAAAAA
rnacentral:sRNA from 1 species